rnacentral:misc_RNA from 1 species
CCAAUAUUACCGGGAGCAUUCCAUGAUCUAGCUAUUAGCCAGCCAUUGAAUGUUCCAUGGAUAUAGAAUCGUAACACUUGCAUACUCAUCCUAUUUCUUCCGUGGAGGGUUCCUCCUUCCACGGACAUCAAUAUAACAUUCUGUAUAUAAAUUCAUGUCUGAUAAUUAUUAUAAAUAUGUUA